rnacentral:lncRNA from 1 species
AAGAACAAAUCAGAAUCCAAUCAGUCUCAAUGCUAAUUCACAACGAAUCAUAAUCACAAUGCACAUACUAUAAUUAAGUUACCUUCUUGGGGUUGAGCAAGUAAUCGUACAAGGUCUUCUCUUCCCAUUCCACAGCUUUGUUCUUGUUAGCAGCAGAGUAAGAGUAACCAGCCGUUGUUCCAGACUGUCUUCCAAACAGACCGUUUAGGUUCGGUCCUAUUAAACCAUUUACAAAAAAAAAAACGCAAUGGUUAUUCACAAACAACAAAGUUCCACGCAAAUUCAAUGACCAUAUGUUAUGCAACAAGCAAAGAUCAAUGGUUGUAUCACCACUUAGGAUUCAAAAUCAGAUUCCACUAUAAGUCGAGUUUUUUGGAUUGGAUCUAAAGAUUAUUUGACAAAACAAGCGUGCUAAUCAACGAAUUCGCAAAACAGAUCGAACAUCAAGAACACAUCGGUUACAAAUCAAAAGCAUCUUAACAUAGAAGACAAGUCAAAGAGAAGAGAGAUGGAACGGAUCGGAUCGGAUCUAACCUUGUUUGUGACCGGCGCCUUUGUCGACGGUGUGACACUGAGCACACUUGGUCCUGAAGAUCUUCUCUCCGGCCUUGGAGUUUCCUGGUGGUGCUUCAUCAAACGACGCCAUUUUCGCCUGAGAUCACGAGGAGGAGGAGCCAACAAAGAGAAAACAAACACGGAACUCGCCUCUCUGGAGCUUCUAAGGGUUUCUGUGGGACACAUCACCACGCGCGACUCUCUUAAUAAUCAACAAUAAUGGGCCAAUAGCCUAACGGGCUCUUAAUGGGCUUCGGUUUAUAAUCCAGGUAUUGCCUUUAGUCGUUUAUUAGCUCAGCUGUUCAUGUAUACAUGUUAAUAGUUGUUUCGAGUAACAAAUAGAGAAAACCUUAAGACAAAUCUGAACUUUUGAGACGAUCGUGUAUAAGAUUUAUGUACAAUCAACAAACCAAUGUUUCCAGUUUGAUCAUUCAGAUAAUACAAUUUAUCCUACUUCUACAAGACGUUCUUCGUCGGAACUUUGCUCCUGAUUGAUGGAAGAAGAACCAAGAGUAGCAAACUCAUGAGCUACUCGCACACUCAUCAACCUCUUCACCUCUUCAAGCUUGCUCCACGAACCAGUAACCGUAUACAUAUCAGCAAUCAACAAAUAGUGCCCUAACUUCACUGGCUCCAUCUCCCAUAGCAGAUCUGCAGCCCACUCACCAAUGUCUUUGUUCCCGUGGAUCAAACAAGCUAUUAUCAGAGUAGCACACAUAGCACGAGACGGCUCGUAAGGCAUUCUGCGGAUUAUAUCUCUGGCGUUAACAAGCAGACCUGCUCUGCAGUAGAGAUCAACCAUACAUGAAUAGUGUUCAAGGCGAGGGAGUAUACCAAACACAUACUGCAUCUUCUUAAACUGCAUUUCUCCUUCAUGGACCAAACCGGAGUGGCUGCAAGCUGAUAAAACUGCAACCAUGGUUACAUGAUCAGGUUCCAUACCUGAUCUGAUCAUUUCCUUGAACCACGCCAAGGCGACUUCUCCUUCUCCCACCAUGCCGUAUCCAUCUAUCAGUGAAGUGUAUGUCACUUUAUCCCUCUUGCUCAUCGACUCAAACAUCCGCUUGGCGGCUAUGAUGUUCCCGGAUUUCGCAUACAUAUCAACAAGGGAGUUCCACAGGAUUAAACAGUCUUUGAAGCAGCUUUGGCGCCUCAGGAUGUAGCAGUGGAGCUCUCUCCCAUGCUGCAGGUUUGCCACCCGAGCACAGAGUGCGAGAAUGCUGGCGAGAGUAACGUGAUUCGGAUGAAAGCCAGCGAGCAUCAUCUCCUUGAGCAGGAAACACGUUUCUUCUGAUCUCUCGUUGUGCGCAAAACCUGAGAUGAUAGAGUUCCAUGUACUCAAAUCAUUCCCUUCCAUCUGCUGAAACACUAUAAAGGCGUGAUUAAGAUCACCACAUCUUGAGUACAUUGUGAUCAACGAGUUUCCAACGUUAUCGAUUGGAGCGUAACAGCUACGUAUCGCAAGGCAAUGGAACUCUCUACCCCACCGUAAAGCUCCAAUCUGCGAGCAUGCCUUCAAACCAUUAAUCAUAGCUACAGAAUCUAAACUCACAUUGUGAUUUCUCAUCUUCGCUACAAAACUCAAAGCCUUUACAUACUCUCCCGUCUGCAAAAGAACUCCAGCUAACGUGUUCCAUGUUACAACAGUCGCUUCUACGCCAGAGAGACUCAUUCUAUCGUAAAAUUCGAGAGCUUCCUCCCAUUUGCCUUGAGAAGCGUAACACUUAAUCAAUGUAUUCCACGAGACAGCGUCCCGUUCAGACAUGGUGUCAAACAAUCUCCGAGCAAUAUCCACAUUACCAAAUCUUGUAUACAUAGAUAUCAACGCAUUGCAUACAUACGAUGCUUUGAACAUAUGCCUUUAUCAUGUCAAGCAUAAGGUUACAGUAGGAUCCACCGAGCUUUUACGUUGUUGGUGUACAAUAGGUCCAUGCUGGGCAGCUUUAGUGUAUGGUAGAAGAACUAAAUUGAAAGCUAGGGUAUUAAAAGAGAGUUAUAGAACAUCAAGCUGUGGGAUCACAGAAAAAAGGUUCUGUUUUUACAUAAUGUAAAAGGAGACUGAUAUAGAAUGAAAGACAAAUACUUACUUAUGGAUGUUAACUUGAGUUGAAGAAAUUGUAUCUUUGAUGGAUCAGUGGAGACAUAUGGUUUAUGAAUGUGCUGAACUGUGGAUACGUGGUCACUCUAGCAAGCAACAUAACUACCAUCAGAUGACAAUGUUUACUAACUGUGUUGUUGUUUCAGCAAGAAGAAUCAGCUGUUGGAUUGCCAGGAGGAAACGGCCAGCUUCUAACGCUCGGGUUGGGUCUGUUGGUAACUGCAUUAGCUGCAACAUAUGUAACUGGCCUAGCAAAGGUAACUAAUACUAGUAGUUACUGUUGUGCUCUUUCCCAUCUGAACAAGGUUAUAAACACACUCGUAUCUAAUUCAUUUGUUUGGUGUUGCAGGAUGCUAUAAAGGAUAUUGAUGAUGAGUAGGGAGAUAUGGAUACUAAGAGAAGGGAGCAGAACAGUGUCGGAUUCAGUUGGAUGAGGCUCUAGGAUUUGUAAAACCUUAGUGGAGAACCAUGUUUCAGACGCUGAAUGUUAAAUAUGUGAUGACAUUAAUACUUCUCCAUCAUUGUUUAUAGUUGAUAUUAAUAUAGUUCCAUUUUUGUUCUCUACAUAUGUUGAAAGGAAAAUAGUUCUAGAUAGAUGAAUGACAAUGAUCUAGAACGAAUCCUAAUAUUGAUCUUGCUCCAACAUCAUUGUUCAUAGUUAAUAUAAUUUGAAUUUUUGUUAUCUACACACUGCAAUAUGUUAGUUGAUAAGAAAAAGAAUGCUUCUAGUUCUAGAUAGAUGCAUUUAUAUGAGUGAGCCUCAGAAAAGGACUCAAGAGUACAUUUGGAACUCAAAAGACAGAAACUCACCCAAAACGUAUUUGAAGAUGAGAGAGCAUUAUAAAAAAAAACCCAAAAACAAAUGUUUGGAGAUUUUAUUUGUCAAAAGAAUAUCUGAUAUGAGAGACUCAAAAGUCAUGAUCGUGUCCCACACCAUUGAUUGGUUCACUAAGCAGUAGAUUCCUUCAAGUAGGCGAUGAGAUCAGCACGGUCUUGAGGCUUCUUGAGCCCAGGGAAGACCAUCUUCGUUCCAGGAAUGUACUGCAUCACAAGAACAAAUCAGAAUCCAAUCAGUCUCAAUGCUAAUUCACAACGAAUCAUAAUCACAAUGCACAUACUAUAAUUAAGUUACCUUCUUGGGGUUGAGCAAGUAAUCGUACAAGGUCUUCUCUUCCCAUUCCACAGCUUUGUUCUUGUUAGCAGCAGAGUAAGAGUAACCAGCCGUUGUUCCAGACUGUCUUCCAAACAGACCGUUUAGGUUCGGUCCUAUUAAACCAUUUACAAAAAAAAAAACGCAAUGGUUAUUCACAAACAACAAAGUUCCACGCAAAUUCAAUGACCAUAUGUUAUGCAACAAGCAAAGAUCAAUGGUUGUAUCACCACUUAGGAUUCAAAAUCAGAUUCCACUAUAAGUCGAGUUUUUUGGAUUGGAUCUAAAGAUUAUUUGACAAAACAAGCGUGCUAAUCAACGAAUUCGCAAAACAGAUCGAACAUCAAGAACACAUCGGUUACAAAUCAAAAGCAUCUUAACAUAGAAGACAAGUCAAAGAGAAGAGAGAUGGAACGG